rnacentral:rRNA from 1 species
CAGUGUGUGUUGUCCAUGAGAAAUCUUGAGUAUGCGGGUUCUGGGGAUAGUAUGCUCGCAAGAGUGAAACUUGAAGAGAUUGACGGAAGGACACCACAAGGAGUGGAGUGUGCGGCUUAAUUUGACUCAACGCGGGGCAACUUACCGGCUCUGAAGGAUGCCUGUGAGUGCAUGGCAUGAGGCAUGCGGCGGUGGUGCAUGGCCGUUUUAAAUGGAUGGCGUGAGCUUUGUCUUAAGUUGCGUAAGAUGUGAGACCCUUUGACGGUGUUCUACGGAGCAAGGAGGGGAUGGAAGAGAACAGGUCCGUUAUGCCCUGAGAUGAGGCGGGCUGCACGCGCACUACGAUAGAUGGCGCUUCUGCCUGCUGUGAGGGAUGAAGCUGUGUAAGGGGCUUCUGAACGUGGAAUUCCUAGUAAUAGCGGCUGACGAAGCUGCUUUGAAUGUGUCCCUGUCCUUUGUACACACCGCCCGUCGCUAUCUAAGAUGACGCACUGGACGAAGAUCGGAAGGUCUGAGUCCUGAGUGUUAGAUAAGAUAUAAGUCGUAACAUGGCUGCUGUUGGAGAACCAGCAGCAGGAUCAG